CCUGCUUGUGCCCCUCAUAUUUUAAUAGCAUGUAUGUGUUUAUAAGGAACCACGCAUUCGAGUGUGAGCAUAAAAUCCUCACAUCCCUAUUUAAAUCUUCAAGUAUUGCCCUUUCCCCUAGUAUACGAUUUCAGGAAGCACAUCUUGCCAAACAGUCACACACACAUGCUAAGAUUAGCUUUGUCCAGUGUACGCCUGCCCAUGUACACAACCACGUCGUCCACUAUUGGGUCCUGGAGGCAAGCGAAACAGUGAUGAGAUGUAUUUAAGGAAGAGAAGAGUUGUUUCUCCGACAAUAUUAUGGCGUUCUUGUGGGAAACCGCAUAUGUCAUUAGGAGCAGGCACCAGAACACCACUGGGUGUGUUUUUUUUCCCAGCUUAGCACACAGAGGAACUCCUGAGAAGAAGAGAGGGGAAAAUAUGACAAGAGGAGAUCAAGAGAGUGAGAAACAAGCUCAGGGAGACAGAGACAAGCGAAGAAUAUUUUGAAUAAAGAAGACUUUAUGAGGAAAAAAAAAUUAAGCUUUCUUCUGUCUUUCCUUAGUAUUAAUACUGUGUUUUCCAGGACACCAUACUACUCUAAUCAAACAUUAAAA